UACGUAGGGUGCAAGCGUUAAUCGGAAUUACUGGGCGUAAAGCGUGCGCAGGCGGUUUUGUAAGUCUGACGUGAAAGCCCCGGGCUCAACCUGGGAAUUGCGUUGGAGACUGCAAGGCUUGAAUCUGGCAGAGGGGGGUAGAAUUCCACGUGUAGCAGUGAAAUGCGUAGAGAUGUGGAGGAACACCGAUGGCGAAGGCAGCCCCCUGGGUCAAGAUUGACGCUCAUGCACGAAAGCGUGGGGAUCAAACAGG
rnacentral:rRNA from 1 species